GAUGAACGCUGGCGGCGUGCCUAAUACAUGCAAGUCGAGCGAACAGAUGAGGAGCUUGCUCCUCUGACGUUAGCGGCGGACGGGUGAGUAACACGUGGAUAACCUACCUAUAAGACUGGGAUAACUUCGGGAAACCGGAGCUAAUACCGGAUAAUAUAUUGAACCGCAUGGUUCAAUAGUGAAAGACGGUUUUGCUGUCACUUAUAGAUGGAUCCGCGCCGCAUUAGCUAGUUGGUAAGGUAACGGCUUACCAAGGCAACGAUGCGUAGCCGACCUGAGAGGGUGAUCGGCCACGCUGGAACUGAGACACGGUCCAGACUCCUACGGGAGGCAGCAGUAGGGAAUCUUCCGCAAUGGGCGAAAGUCUGACGGAGCAACGCCGCGUGAGUGAUGAAGGUCUUCGGAUCGUAAAACUCUGUUAUUAGGGAAGAACAAAUGUGUAAGUAACUAUGCACGUCUUGACGGUACCUAAUCAGAAAGCCACGGCUAACUACGUG
rnacentral:rRNA from 1 species